GUAAGCGCUUCACUCCAUGGUUCACCAGAGUUCUAUGUAGGGGAUAAGAACCUGGCAGCUCCAGAAUAUGUGGAAGUGGUUGGCAUUGUUUUCCCCACAGAGCCUCCAACAACUGCUACCAUAAACAUAGUCACUUGCCCUUCCUCUUGUGUCACCGGUCUGACCUCAUCCCUAAUCCCUGAUUGUUUCCACCUGUGCUCCCCUCCCUCAUGUGUAUAAAGUCUUUGUCUUCCCCUGUCUGCAUUGCCAGAGUAUUUUGUUUGUCCUGUCGAAUACAUCCAGCCUUAUUCAUAGCCUUGUAUCAAGAUAAGUAUUGUCACGCUUUAUUUUCUGUUUUGUAUGCCUCUGAAGAAGAGUGAUUUUGAGUUGUAUUUUUCUGGUUAGACCUUUUGUUUUCAGAUUCAGAUUUUGUUUGUGUUUUGUGUUUACCUCCUUUGGAACGUUUUCUCUUUAUUUUUAUAGCUUCGUUGGAGUAGAUAAUUUUUUUCCUCCCUUGGGUGAUUUUGAUUUAUUGAAUUUUCAUAGUCUUAGUCCUCAGAUCAGUGUAGUUUCCUUCAUUCCUCCUACGGGAGCAUUUUUUGUUCUUUCAUUUUGUGUUCUUGUUGUUUCGUCUUGUCCUUUAGACCCAGAGAUUUUCAUAGCCUGUUUCUUUAUCAUUCUGUCGGAAGAGAUACAAUAUCUGAA